rnacentral:rRNA from 1 species
GCAUUAUACCGUGAAACUGCGAAUGGCUCAUUAAAUCAGUUAUCGUUUAUUUGAUAGUACCUUACUACUUGGAUAACCGUGGUAAUUCUAGAGCUAAUACAUGCUGAAAACCCCAACUUCGGGAGGGGUGUAUUUAUUAGAUAAAAAACCAACGCCCUUCGGGGCUUCUUGGUGAUUCAUGAUAACUUCACGGAUCGCAUGGCCUUGCGCCGGCGACGGUUCAUUCAAAUUUCUGCCCUAUCAACUUUCGAUGGUAAGGUAUUGGCUUACCAUGGUUUCAACGGGUAACGGGGAAUUAGGGUUCGAUUCCGGAGAGGGAGCCUGAGAAACGGCUACCACAUCCAAGGAAGGCAGCAGGCGCGCAAAUUACCCAAUCCCGACACGGGGAGGUAGUGACAAUAAAUACUGAUACAGGGCUCUUUUGGGUCUUGUAAUUGGAAUGAGUACAAUUUAAACCUCUUAACGAGGAACAAUUGGAGGGCAAGUCUGGUGCCAGCAGCCGCGGUAAUUCCAGCUCCAAUAGCGUAUAUUAAAGUUGUUGCAGUUAAAAAGCUCGUAGUUGAAACUUGGGCCUGGCUGGCAGGUCCGCCUCACCGCGUGUACUUGUCCGGCCGGGCCUUUCCUUCUGGAGAACCUCAUGCCCUUCACUGGGUGUGUUGGGGAACCAGGACUUUUACUUUGAAAAAAUUAGAGUGUUCAAAGCAGGCCUUUGCUCGAAUACGUUAGCAUGGAAUAAUAGAAUAGGACGUGCGGUCCUAUUUUGUUGGUUUCUAGGACCGCCGUAAUGAUUAAUAGGGACAGUCGGGGGCAUCAGUAUUCAAUUGUCAGAGGUGAAAUUCUUGGAUUUAUUGAAGACUAACUACUGCGAAAGCAUUUGCCAAGGAUGUUUUCAUUAAUCAGUGAACGAAAGUUAGGGGAUCGAAGACGAUCAGAUACCGUCGUAGUCUUAACCGUAAACUAUGCCGACUAGGGAUCGGGCGAUGUUCUUUUUCUGACUCGCUCGGCACCUUACGAGAAAUCAAAG